ACUCUAUUUUAUUUUCUUCGGAAAUGAAGAUUUUGUGACUGAGUGGCGGACGGGUGAGUAACGCGUGGGUAACCUGCCACAUACAGGGGGAUAACAGUUGGAAACGACUGCUAAUACCGCAUAAGCGCACAGGACCGCAUGGUCCGGUGUGAAAAACUCCGGUGGUAUGGGAUGGACCCGCGUCUGAUUAGCCAGUUGGCAGGGUAACGGCCUACCAAAGCGACGAUCAGUAGCCGACCUGAGAGGGUGACCGGCCACAUUGGGACUGAGACACGGCCCAAACUCCUACGGGAGGCAGCAGUGGGGAAUAUUGCACAAUGGGGGAAACCCUGAUGCAGCGACGCCGCGUGAGCGAAGAAGUAUUUCGGUAUGUAAAGCUCUAUCAGCAGGGAAGAAGAAUGACGGUACCUGACUAAGAAGCACCGGCUAAAUACGUGCCAGCAGCCGCGGUAAUACGUAUGGUGCAAGCGUUAUCCGGAUUUACUGGGUGUAAAGGGAGCGCAGGCGGUGCGGCAAGUCUGAUGUGAAAGCCCGGGGUUCAACCCCGGUACUGCAUUGGAAACUGUCGUACUAGAGUGUCGGAGGGGUAAGUGGAAUUCCUAGUGUAGCGGUGAAAUGCGUAGAUAUUAAGAGGAACACCAGUGGCGAACGCGGCUUACUGGACGAUAACUGACGCUGA
rnacentral:rRNA from 1 species